GAUGAAGAACGUAGCGAAAUGCGAUAAGUAAUGUGAAUUGCAGAAUUCAGUGAAUCAUCGAAUCUUUGAACGCACCUUGCGCCCUUUGGCUAUUCCGAAGGGCAUGCCUGUUUGAGUAUCAUGAACACCUCAACUCUCAUGGCUUGCCAUGAUGAGCUUGGACUAUGGGGGUCUUGCUGGCCUGUGGUCGGCUCCUCUCAAAUGAAUCAGCUUGCCGGUGUUUGGUGGCGUCACAGGUGUGAUAACUAUCUACGCUUGUGGUGUUUUCCACCAGGUAACCUUCAACAAUGGAGGUUCGCUGGGGCUCAUAAAAGUCUCUCCUCGGUGAGGACAGCUCUUUUUGAACGUUUGAUCUCAAAUCAGGUAGGACUACCCGCUGAACUUAAGCAUAUCAAUAAGCGGAGGA
rnacentral:misc_RNA from 1 species